rnacentral:rRNA from 1 species
AUGGGCGAAAGCCAUGAUCCAGCCAUGCCAGCGUGUGUGAAGAAGGUCUUCGGAUUGUAAAGCACUUUAAUGUUGGGAGGAAGGGCAGUAAGCUAAUACCUUGCUGUUUUGACGUUACCGACAGAAUAAGCACUC